rnacentral:rRNA from 1 species
GGGUCAGUAGGUUGGUCGUGCCACCGGUACGUACUGGUCUCACUGAUUCCUCCUUCCUGAAGAACCGUAAUGCCAUUAAUUUGGUGUUGCGGGGAAACAGGACUGUUACUUUGAAAAAAUUAGAGUGUUUAAAGCAAGCUAACGCUUGAAUACAUUAGCAUGGAAUAAUGAAAUAGGACGAUCGAUCCUAUUUUGUUGGUUACUAGGAUUGACGCA